GAUGAACGCUAGCUACAGGCUUAACACAUGCAAGUCGAGGGGAAACGAUAGAGAAAGCUUGCUUUUUCUAGGCGUCGACCGGCGCACGGGUGAGUAACGCGUAUCCAACCUGCCCACCACUUGGGGAUAACCUUGCGAAAGUAAGACUAAUACCCAAUGACGUCUCUAGAAGACAUCUGAAAGAGAUUAAAGAUUUAUCGGUGAUGGAUGGGGAUGCGUCUGAUUAGCUUGUUGGCGGGGUAACGGCCCACCAAGGCGACGAUCAGUAGGGGUUCUGAGAGGAAGGUCCCCCCACAUUGGAACUGAGACACGGUCCAAAACUCCUACGGGAGGCAGCAGUGAGGAAUAUUGGUCAAUGGACGAGAGUCUGAACCAGCCAAGUAGCGUGCAGGAUGACGGCCCUAUGGGUUGUAAACUGCUUUUAUAAGGGAAUAAAGUGAGUCUCGUGAGACUUUUUGCAUGUACCUUAUGAAUAAGGACCGGCUAAUUCCGUGCCAGCAGCCGACGG
rnacentral:rRNA from 1 species